GUAGUACUCCCUCCGUCUCAAAAUUCUCAUCUUAGAUUUGUCUAGAUAUAAAUGUAUUUCGUAAUGUUUUAAUAUUUAGAUACAUUCAUUUUUAAACAAAUUUAAGAUAAAAAUUUAGGGACGAAGAAAGUACUAU
rfam:Hordeum vulgare subsp. vulgare, WGS project CAJW01000000 data, contig: morex_contig_1582270